GUGUUCGCUUCGGCAACACAUAUACUAAAAUUGGAACAAUACAGAGAAGAUUAGCAUGGCCCUUGUGAAAAGAUGACACGCAAAUUUGUGAAGCGUUCCAUAUUUUU
ensembl:snRNA U6 U6 spliceosomal RNA